GUUUCAAUUUUUUUUAGUGAAAUCAGAAUCACUACUCUUCUCUCUCAUUUUCUCUUCACUGUUGUUUUUCUCUUUCACACUCUCUCAGCUAUGCUCUUCAUCCUCCUGAGGCUGUCGCUGUUCAUCAACAAAAAAACUCACCCGUCCAGAUUUCCACUUCCGGCCACCUCCGGUACACCACCCGGAAAACUCCGAUCGCAUUCCCAAUCACGGUAAAUUUUUCUAUUCUACCCUUUGCCUAACUUAAAUCACAAUUUUCAUAUUUUGCAGGUGAGGCUUAUAUUUCCAAUCUGUAAAUGUAUAUUAAACCUGAAUUGAAUUUAAUUUGAUUCAUGAGUUAAUUUCUCCAUACCUCAAUUACUAUGUUUCAAUCACUAAUUUAAAGUGUGUCUCUAAUCAUGUGUUUUUCUUCUUUAAGAAUUUUGAUUGAAAAAUAGUGUCGUUUUAUAGUUCUUUAAGAGUUUAGAUAGAAAAAUGGUGUCUUUUAUAGCUUAGAAAUGAAUGCAGAUAAUCUAAGUUUCAAACACAUGGACAUGUGUUCUAAUAAUAACCUUCAUAAUUGAUUUUUCCGCGUUGAGAUUUUAUUUUUCAGUAGGAAGAUCUGCACAUUACAUGAUUCCAGGAUUAUGACUAUGCAACAGACUAUGCAACUCCAUACUUGAAAUUGUCUUAAACCGUUCUUUAAGAAUUUGAUGUAUUUUAGUUUGCAUAUUUUAUAAGGUGUUUGCUAAAAAGUUCAUGUUAUAUGUAUGCAUAUUUGAUUUACUUACAAGUAAUUUAUUAAUGACGCAAAGAAAAGGUGUAUAUGAUGUUAGCUGACACAUAACAGGUAGUUGGUGACAAGUAUAAUCAGACUGAGAUUGUUGAUUGCUUAACUUUAAAUGUUCUUAAAAUCAAAAUCAAUGGGUGUCAAAGUUAACAUGCUUCUUUUGGUUUUUGUAAUCUAAGUGUUAUCUAAUCUACUUAUGAUAACUUAAACCUUAAAUUUGAAAAUAUGUCUAUAUAGGUAUGUGUGUAAGUAUUGUAUGGAGAUGUGGAUUCAUUUAGGUCCAACCCUCCUUGCUUAUCACUAUAUGUUGAUGUGAAACAUCAAUUUGUUUGAAUUGCAUAUUGUUAACAUAAGUAAAUUAGCUCACAACUUUUUUUUGAAGAUAUUGUGGUAGAACAUUUCUCUCAAAUCUGAAGCAUUAUGAAUGCUAUGGCAUUAUUUUGACUGUCACAGUAUUAAGAUGUUGAUUGCUCAUCUAUUGUUAAAGCCUAUGGUUUGCUUCUUUUUUUCAAUGUUUACUUUGUUAGUUCAUGUGAAAUUACCUACUUAAAUUGUCAUACAAAAAAUGGCAAGAGAUGAAGCAACUUGACAAUUAUAAAGAACAAGGAAUAUAACUUUCUGCUCCAAUACAAAUAGUAUCAGUUGCAACCAAACACACUUGCAAGCUUCACCUAAAGAAAUUAGUUGCUCAAAUUUUCAGAGAAGCCUAAUAAAAAGUUUAAGUAGAGCACAAGUCUAUGUACCCUUUGAUUAUUGUUUCUCCUACAGCAGCCACACAAUGUGUUAUAUUGAGAGGUUCAAGCCACGGUUAUGCUAAAGGGGCAUUCGGUAGCAAUGGAUUUUGGGACGUGUAUUGAUCAUUAUGAGCUUUGUAGGGAGAAAAGGUGAAAUUUAUGUUAAAGAUAAGUUCUAUAUGUUCAUGGAGGAGUUAGCUAGCUAAUUCCAAUUUCUGAAGCACAUUUAUACAGUCUUGCACACAUUCAACGCUUUUGAUGGUCUACGCUACUUACUUUAGGCAUCUCAAAUGACGUAAUUUUAGAUUCCAAUGCUGCAUGAAACAAAGGAAUUAGUUUUCAUGGCCAGUUUUGGGUGAUUGCUUACUUAAGCUAAGCACCAAAUUUGAAUGUAUAGAGCUGGACAGACUACUCCAAACAGUUUGUCAUCAGGUUCCUGUCCCCACUUCAAAUUAAGUCCAUAGUUUGCAGAUGGAUUUUGCUAUUAUCACUGCUUUUUAUUGUAGUUCUCACAAUAUAGUUACUGCUAUUCUAUCUUUAUGUUAAUAAUUUUGGAUUCGUAAGUUGUAAAUAUGUUUUAGCCUUAUCUGUCUUUUGCUCUAUAGCCCUGUAACAACCUUCUAUUAUUAGCUUCAGUUUUCUCUCUCUGUAACAGCACUUUAAACUCAUGUAAAUCUAUAUAAUAGUGUACAACAAUCUAUAUAUUAGGGAUUCAUUA